UUUCAAUGUCAAUUUGUCAUUUUUAUUAAUGGAGACGUGAAUGUGAAAAACUCAAACAGGAACAAUUUUUCUAUAUUAAUAUUUGUAUAGAAAUCUUAUUAAAUGGAUAUCACGUAUAAAGAUAAAUACGACACAUCCUCUGAUGGAUCUUCAACCAAGAAAAAACACAAGAAAGAACAUAAACGCAAACAUAAAAAGCACAUCUCCGAAAAAACAGAAAAAGAUAAAAGUAAAAAACACAAGAAGCAUAAAAAACAUAAACACCGAGUCUCAGAUUCGCCAGAUGAUGCUAAUGGAAGAUACACUCCUGUGAAAGAAGGAAAUGGCCUAAUUACUAACGGUAACACUAAUACUGAUAUACCUACAACACAUCCUGAAUCAGUUGUUGAUGUCAUAUCUAAAGGAUUAAUUUCUGAUCGACUGACAGAAAUAGUUUCUUCUGAAAGUGAUGGUGUCCCAGAAGCAGAUUGUGAUAGUGUGGACAUCGAUAUGAGUGUUAUUGAAGCAGAUAUGGAUUUAGAAGAAUUGAUGAAACAAAAAGAACUUUUACAAGCACAGUUGGCAAAAGCUGAAAGUUUAAAUACACCAAUUGAAAACAAUGAAGUUGAGAAAGUAGUAGAUGAGAUUAUUUUGUUGGAUGAUUCAGAUGAUCAAGAACCGGUACCUACUGCUCCAAAAAGAAAAAAAUCUAGGAGUCGUGACAGGAAAAUUGAAAGUCGCAAUAAGGAUGAAUCAAAGAAAAAAACCAAUCACAGUACUAGAGAAGUUCACUCUCACAGAGAAGAUAAAAGAGAUAGGCAUAUCCGUGAAUCAGAUCGUUAUCGCAAUAGAUAUGGUAGGGAUCAAUCACGUGAUAGAUCUAGGUCUCAUUACCAUGAUUCUACUAGGCAUAGGUCAAGAGAUAGAUCCAGGGAGAUGAGAUCUAGAGAUUCACAUUCUUAUAGAGAUAGGCAAAGAACAAAUAAUGAUCGAGAUAAAAGACAUAAAGAUUCAACAAAAUCGAGAAGUGUCAAACUUGACAAAUUCAAAGAUUCAUUGAGUGAAGGACAGAAACGUCAAGAAAGUAGUGAUAGCAGUGAAGUGGAAAUGGAUAUCGAUUUAAAUGAGGAAGAUGAGGAAACUAUUAUUGAACACAGAAGGAAGCAAAGGGAGGAAUUAUUAAAGAGAUUAAGUGCUAGUAACUCAAAAUCUGGUAAUGUAGAAUCCAAUAUGUCUGCUUCACAAUCUCCCGAAGUGCAGAUUGUUGAAGACUCCCAAAAUAUUACCCCAGAAUGUCCCAAACCGUCUACAACACAUACAUUGAAUAAACCAAAAGAAAACAUUAAAAUUGAUAUAAAACAAAAUAAUCAAGACGACGAAGCACAUACCCCACCACUUUUACCUAAUAUGAAAACAGUUGAAAUGGUCUCUAAUGAUAAGAAAAAUGAAAAACAUAAAAAAUCAGAAUGGGAUAUGUUUGCUGAACAAGAUAUUUAUAAAGUUAAUACCUCUUCUCCAAAUGCCAUUACUACUAAAGGCUCGGGGGCUGAAAAUCCAUCUCUUACUGAUAAUUGGGAUGAUGCUGAAGGAUAUUAUCGAGUGAGAAUUAGUGAAAUAUUAGAUUCUCGUUAUAUGGUAUAUGGGUACACUGGACAGGGAGUGUUUAGUAAUGUUAUUAGAGCUAGAGAUCAGGCAAGAGGCGGACAAGAUGUAGCUGUUAAAAUUAUUAGAAAUAAUGAAAUCAUGCACAAGACUGGAUUGAAAGAAUUAGAAAUAUUGAAAAAACUCAAUGAUGCCGAUCCAGAUGAUAAAUUACACUGCCUUAGGUUGAUAAGACAUUUUUUUCACAAACAGCACCUUUGUAUGGUUUUUGAACCACUUGCCAUGAAUCUUAGAGAAGUUUUGAAAAAAUAUGGAAAAGAUGUAGGUCUGCACGUUAAGGCAGUUAGAAGUUAUACUCAACAAUUAUUAUUAGCAUUAAAGUUACUGAAAAAAACAGGAAUUUUGCACGCUGAUAUUAAACCAGAUAACAUCUUGGUCAAUGAAAGCAAGCACCUUUUAAAACUUUGUGACUUUGGAUCUGCCUCAAAGAUAAAUGAAAAUGAAAUAACCCCAUACUUAGUGUCAAGAUUUUAUAGAGCCCCCGAAAUAAUUCUUGGUAUGACUUACGAUUAUGGUAUUGAUAUGUGGUCGGCCGCUUGUACCAUUUAUGAGUUAUAUACUGGUCGGAUAAUGUUUUCUGGAAAAUCAAAUAAUCAGAUGUUGAAAUUUUUUAUGGAUGUCAAAGGAAAGUUUCCAAACAAGGUUAUCAGAAAAGGGGCCUUCAAAGACCAACAUUUUGAUUCAAACUAUAAUUUUUUGUAUCAUGAAAUUGAUAAGGUUACUGAGAGGGAAAAAGUCGUAGUUAUGUCUGUGAUAAAGGUAACACGUGAUUUACAAUCUGAACUCAUAGGAGGACAAAGUUUACCUGCAGACCAACUACGAAAAGUUACCCAGCUCAAAGACCUUCUGGAAAAAGGCUUGGCGAUCGAUCCAGCCAAAAGGAUCAGUCUCAAUAAUGCCUUAACACAUCCUUUCAUACAAGAUAAAAUCUAGAAGUGGUUUAGAGAGAAAAUCGUAGCUGGAAAUUCGAAUUGUGAGAGAAUCUUCGCUACAACCAGAUGGUUUAAGAAUUUAAAGUGAGAGAGCUAAGUCAUACAAAGAAACGAUUCGUAAUGAUGUGAUUAAAUAGUUUACAACGUUAACGAGCUUAGGAAUUGUCUAUCGAAAGAAAGGAUAAGUAUUUUGUAUGUCAAAAAUAUAUCAUCUAAUUUUCUUAUUUCUCUUUUAGUUUUGAAUCCAAAAUAUAGUCUGAUAUUCAGUAUGCAAGGGGAUAGAAGUUUUAAAUAAAAAUUAAUAGUUUGUAAUUCUAAAUAUCCUCUCCAGCAAAAUUAACGCAUUUUUUAUUUGGCUACAACUUUUAAUGAAAUAACCAAUGUUUUAUUACUGCCAAAGAAGAACAAGGUAUGUUUUUCAUGUUUUUGAUAAUAUGUAAACUUGAUAAAAUGCAAUAAAUGGUUUAUUUUCAAA